UAACUACUCCCUCCGUCCCAAAAUUCUUGUCUUAGAUUUGUCUAGAUGCGGAUGUAUCUAAGACAAGAAUUUUGGGACGGAGGGAGUAUUAU
rnacentral:pre_miRNA from 1 species